UACAGAGGCUGCAAGCGUUAUUCGGAUUCACUGGGCGUAAAGGGUGCGCAGGCGGUUGGGUGUGUCAGAUGUGAAAUCCCGAGGCUUAACCUCGGAACUGCGUCUGAAACUACUCGACUAGAGUACUGGAGAGGGUAACGGAAUUCACGGUGUAGCAGUGAAAUGCGUAGAUAUCAAAAGGAACACCUGAGGUGAAGACGGGUUGCUGGGCUGACACUGACGCUGAGGCGCGAAAGCCAGGGGAGCAAACGGG
rnacentral:rRNA from 1 species